rnacentral:rRNA from 1 species
GAUGAACGCUAGCGGCAGGCUUAACACAUGCAAGUCGAGGGGCAGCACGUCUUCGGAUGGUGGCGACCGGCGCACGGGUGAGUAACGCGUAUGCAAUCUACCUUUUACAGGGGCAUAGCCCGGGGAAACCCGGAUUAAUAUCCUAUAGUACCAUUAUAUAGCAUUAUAUUAUGGUUAAAGUCUCGGCGGUAAAAGAUGAGCAUGCGUCCUAUUAGCUUGAUGGUAAGGUAACGGCUUACCAUGGCUAUGAUAGGUAGGGGUCCUGAGAGGGAGACCCCCCACACUGGUACUGAGACACGGACCAGACUCCUACGGGAGGCAGCAGUGAGGAAUAUUGGACAAUGGGCGCAAGCCUGAUCCAGCCAUGCCGCGUGCAGGAAGACGGCCCUAUGGGUUGUAAACUGCUUUUAUACGGGAAGAAACACCCCUUCGUGAAGGGACUUGACGGUACCGUAUGAAUAAGGAUCGGCUAACUCCGUGCCAGCAGCCGCGGUAAUACGGAGGA